GUGCUCCCGAUCCGAUCGGGAUGCAGGACGACGGCGGCAGGACUCCGGGAUGCGGGGAACGGCGGGGAAGAUGCGGACGUAGGGGGCGAGGCGGAUGAGGUCGUGAUCCAGUGCGUAGGCACGGAGGCCGGCGGCGGCGACGCUCCAUGGCCAUGGCGGCUCGGUCUCCUGGGAAGAAGAAACGAGGGAGAGAGGAGGUGAGAUAGAGAGAAGAGAACGUAGAGUAGGGACGGCGUCGCUUCCUGCUGCUGGUCCGGCGGCGGCUUCGAUCGACAGAUCCAGGGAGUAGGAGCUUGAGGAAUACGCAGAGAAGGCCAAGACGUAUGUUGCCUGACACAACAACUAAGAACAAGAGCAAAGCUGGACAACGGUCGGCCCAGCAACCACCGGCAUAAUAUCUACACACACACCUACAGUUUGUUGCAAACUAAAUAUGUUUUCUGGUGGAAUCAUUAGCCAUCGCUUGAGUUUGAUGACACAUGCAUUCUCCUUGCCCAAGGGUGCAUUUCAGCUGGACAAGCCCGCCUCCAAUCCAAACAACUUUCUGUUCAUGAGCCGUGGCAUGGUAGAGUGAUGCAGCCUUUUAUGGAUUUCUGGAACUGUUAAUUCAAGUGCCUUUUGAAUUUUGGUCUUGGGAGUUGAAGCGGAUUUGAUUUUGGCGCUACAUUAGUGCGCUUUUCUUUUGCGGAUAUAUUUUGAGGAGAGUCAACCCGCAUGUAUGUGCAUUGAUUUUCAUUGUGAAGCUUGCAGGUGAAUCAGGCUCUGCAUGCUUCGGUCAAUCCCAUUGGCGACCUGUUCCCGGCCCGGAUCAAUGGUCCACGCACAACUGGAACAAGCAGGUUGAUGGAUUUUGAUAAGGAUGUUAGAUUGAAAGUUGCAACGUACAAAGCUUGCUAUUAGGUGUUGUCCCGUUGCCUCUCGCGGACACACGUAUGGAUCCGCUAGGCAGGCUAGAUGACGAUCUCCACACACCUAGAGUUGCUGGACCUCCGUCCUCCCGCUUCGAACUUCAUGCAUGACCUUCGUCCAUCUGCAGAGAAGGCGCCGACUGUGUUGCCGGCUAGAUGGCAGCCUCGGCGUGACUAGGAGCCUAUGACUCCAAUGGUUCCAUUAAACUCCUACUUUUAACCAGCCCAUGCAUGACAGCAAGCAAUUCUCUUUUCUUUGUUCAGAGUUACUUAAAGGGUAUAUAUGCAUUUCAAUCAAAGAGAUUUAGUGAUUUACUCUAAUGACUACUGAGGAAGUAUGUGACAGGGAUGCUUCCCCACUGACCCCAGGAUCGUGAACGCUAAUUACAAUUGAAGAUUUGCAUAUGUGUGAUUUGGAUUUUAUGUGCAUAUAUAUGAAGCUACUAGGGAGUUUAUGUGUAGUGGACCGUGCAUGCA